rnacentral:rRNA from 1 species
UGCCAGCAGCCGCGGUAAUACGGAGGGGGCAAGCGUUGUUCGGAAUUACUGGGCGUAAAGCGCACGUAGGCGGACUAUUAAGUCAGGGGUGAAAUCCCGGGGCUCAACCCCGGAACUGCAUUUGAAACUGGAAGUCUGGAGUUCAGGAGAGGUUAGCGGAAUACCGAGUGUAGAGGUGAAAUUCGUAGAUAUUCGGUGGAACACCAGUGGCGAAGGCGGCUUGCUGGCUCUGUUCUGACACUCAGACGCGAAAGCAUGGGGAGCGAACGGGAUUAGAUA